rnacentral:lncRNA from 1 species
AUGGAUUCCUGCAUAUUUAGUCUAUCCUGUGGAUUAAGCAAUCCAAGACCAUCAUUAUUGCCCAAAUCGUUCCAAUUUUGGCCAUUGGAAGCCCUUUCAGGUUGGCGCCUGUGCCCUUUCUACACGUCCCCAUCCUUUUCUGAGCACUUUCUUCCUUUUUUGGCACCACAAGAUGCUCCAGGCUCAUCUUGUAUUUUCCCUGCCCCGGUCCUGGAGUCCCAUGGAAGGUUUAAAGUAGGCGGUGACAUGAGCGGAUGUGUUGUAGAAAGACACUCUGGCUGCAGCGCUGAGGUUGGGUUGGUGGCAGGGAGAGAGAGAAUGUGGCAAUCUGCCAGGAGCUUGCAGCAUUCUCUCCAAUUAAUUAUUGCUUUCCAGUUAAAUAUAAUCACAGCCCUGUCUGGAGCAGUCACCCGGGAAUGGACAAGAGGAGACGCGUGUAUGAGAGACUGCAGACACACCUCGAUCCUCAGAGAGCUGAUGAAGGAAUUUGGAAGAAAGGUGUUCAAAGAACUUUAAACCGGCACCCAAUAUAGAAGCUGACACAGAACAGGAGUCCAGCAAGUGUUAGUUAAAUCAGUACGUUAAUCUAUAAUUAUCGUCAAGUAUUGACUACGACUUUGAAAGCAAGAAAUGUAUUUGGCCAAACUUCUGGCGUUUGACAUCUGGCAGUUUAGUUAACCUCUAAAAACCUCACUUACCUCAUCUGCAAAUGGAACUGAAAAGAGUACUGUCACAGCCAGCCUCCAACGUGGCCCCCAGGCAUCUCGUCUCCUGAUUUUCACGCCUUUGCAUGGCCCCUCCCACACUGAAAAGGGCUCGCCCAAUGACCAAUAGGACGUUGAGGAAAUGACGAUGCCUGACUUCUGGGGCUGCGUCAUAAAGAUGCUGCGGCUUCUGCCUUGCUGUCUUUUGGAUCGCCUGCUGGGGGGGGCGGGGGGGGAAGCCAGCUGCCACGUUGUGAGAACACUCAAGCAGCCCCGUGGAGGAGUCCACGUGGUGAGCAACGCUGCCUCCCGCCAAUAGCCAGGUAGUAAAGAUGCCGCCAGCCCACGUCAGGCCUUUAGAUGACCACAGCCACAGCCAAUAUCUAAUUCCGGCUUCAUGAGAGAUCCUGAGCCAGAACCAUCCAGCUGAGCUGCUCCUGGAUUCCUGACCUGGAGAAACUGCGAGAUAACAAAUGACCGUGGUUUUGAGCCACUAAAUUUUAGGGUUAUUUAUUAUGCAGCAAUAAAUAACUAAUACAUGGGCCUACCUCA